rnacentral:tRNA from 1 species
GGGCUUAUAGCUCAGGUGGUCAGAGCGCACGCCUGAUAAGCGUGAGGUCGAUGGUUCGAGUCCAUCUAAGCCCA